GAUGGCCAGGCUGUCUCCACCCGAGACUCAGUGAAAUUGAACUCGCUGUGAAGAUGCAGUGUACCCGCGGCAAGACGGAAAGACCCCGUGAACCUUUACUAUAGCUUGACACUGAACACUGGUCCUUGAUGUGUAGGAUAGGUGGGAGGCUUUGAAGCGUGGACGCCAGUCUGCGUGGAGCCAACCUUGAAAUACCACCCUUUAAUGGCUGGUGUUCUAACGUAGACCCGUUACCCGGGUUGCGGACAGUGUCUGGUGGGUAGUUUGACUGGGGCGGUCUCCUCCCAAAGAGUAACGGAGGAGCACGAAGGUUGGCUAAUCCUGGUCGGACAUCAGGAGGUUAGUGCAAUGGCAUAAGCCAGCUUGACUGCGAGCGUGACGGCGCGAGCAGGUGCGAAAGCAGGUCAUAGUGAUCCGGUGGUUCUG
rnacentral:rRNA from 1 species